rnacentral:rRNA from 1 species
GAACGCACCGCAAGGUGAGUGGCAGACGGGUGAGUAACGCGUGGGAACCUCCCCUGUGGUACGGAAUAACUUCGGGAAACCGAAGCUAAUACCGUAUAUCUCCUCCGGGAGAAAGAUUUAUCGCCAUAGGAUGGGCCCGCGUUGGAUUAGCUAGUUGGUAGGGUAAUGGCCUACCAAGGCAACGAUCCAUAGCUGGUCUGAGAGGAUGAUCAGCCACACUGGGACUGAGACACGGCCCAGACUCCUACGGGAGGCAGCAGUGGGGAAUAUUGGACAAUGGGCGCAAGCCUGAUCCAGCCAUGCCGCGUGAGUGAAGAAGGCCUUAGGGUUGUAAAGCUCUUUUGGCGGGGACGAUAAUGACGGUACCCGCAGAAUAAGCCCCGGCUAACUUCGUG